CCCUUAGAUGUUCUGGGCUGCACGCGCGCUACACUGAAGCGUUCAACGAGUAUUCACCUUGCCCGGGAGGGUUGGGUAAUCUUUUGAAAACGCUUCGUGAUGGGGAUAGAUUAUUGCAAUUAUUAAUCUUCAACGAGGAAUUCCUAGUAAGCGCGAGUCAUCAGCUCGUGCUGAUUACGUCCCUGCCCUUUGUACACACCGCCCGUCGCACCUACCGAUUGAAUGGUCCGGUGAAGCCUCGGGAUUGUGGCGAGUUCCCUUUAUUGGGAGUUUGUCGCGAGAACUUGUCUAAACCUUAUCAUUUAGAGGAAGGUGAAGUCGUAACA
rnacentral:rRNA from 1 species